UACGGAGGGUGCGAGCGUUAAUCGGAAUAACUGGGCGUAAAGCGUGCGCAGGCGGGUUUUUAAGUCAGAGGUGAAAUCCCCGGGCUCAACCUGGGAAUUGCCUUUCAGACUGCGAGUCUAGAGUACUUUAGAGAGGGAUGGAAUUCCACGUGUAGCGGUGAAAUGCGUAGAGAUGUGGAGGAAUACCGAAGGCGAAGGCAACCCCCUGGGAAUGUACUGACGCUCAUGUGCGAAAGCGUGGGGAGCAAACAGG
rnacentral:rRNA from 1 species